AUCUAUGGCCAUAUCACACUGAACGUGCCCCAUCUUGUCUGAUCUUGGAAGCUAAGCAGGGUCGGGCCUGGUUAGUACUUGGAUGGGAGGCAGAGGAGGAAGAAAUUAGGUUUGAGAUU
rnacentral:rRNA from 1 species